rnacentral:rRNA from 1 species
CGAUGUGCGACCUCAGAGCAGGUGAGAUGACCCGCUGAAUUUAAGCAUAUUAUUAAGCGGAGGAAAAGAAACUAACUAGGAUCCCCGUAGUAGCGGCGAGCGAACGGGGAACAGCCCAGCACCGAAUCCCACGGUCGGUUUCGCGGCCGCCGGGAAAUGUGGUGUUCGGGAGGAUCCGUGCGCGCGCACGCGCACGCGUGCGUUAACGCGCGCGCGUGUGUCGCGCGCGCGCACACAUACAUCCCGAGACGAUCGUGUUACGACGCGUCCAAGUCCAUCUUGAACGGGGCCAUCUCUCCGUAGAGGGUGCCAGGCCCGUAGCGACCGUCGCGCGUCUCGGGAGGAUCUCUCCUCAGAGUCGGGUUGCUUGAGAGUGCAGCUCUAAGCGGGUGGUAAACUCCAUCUAAGGCUAAAUACGACCACGAGACCGAUAGCGAACAAGUACCGUGAGGGAAAGUUGAAAAGAACUUUGAAGAGGGAGUUCAAGAGUACGUGAAACCGUUGAGGGGUAAACCUGAGAAACCCGAAAGGUCGAUCGACGAGAUUCAACUACCUGUCGUGCGUGUAAUGUUCCGGUCGGCGCGCGUUCUCGCGACGACGCGACGACGUCGAGCGCGCUCUCCGGCGCGCCGAUGUCACGUCGCGCGCGCGGUCGUGCGUCGUUUUUCACCGGCGUCGAAGGUAUGCACUUCUCGUCUCGUAGGACGUCGCGACCCGUUCGGUGUCGGUCUACGGCCCGCGUGCGGAGCCCGUCGUGCGUGCGUUUCGGCGACGGCGAUUCGCGUCGUCGUUGUCGGCGACGCGCGUACGGUGGACGCGUCGCGGUGUUCCCGACCGACUGCCGGACGGUAGUCACACACAACGAACGCGUCACGCCUCCGCCGCGCACACUAGCGCGCGCGCGCACGCACGGUGUAUAUUAUAUAUCUGUGUCGUGUGUCGUGCGUGUGUCGUGUGUGCGUGCGUGCGUGUCGUACAAACGAUAAUAUAUGACAGCGGGGCGUGCAGUCGCGCGCGCGUCCGACCGCGCACAAGCUCUCUCGGCGGCGUUCGCUCUCGCGUGCGCGCGUGAGUGACGAUCGACCGAUAGUCGGACCCGGUGCCGGCUACGGUCACGCCGGGCUGUUAGUAGCGCGAGUUCUCGGACUCACCCGCGCCCGCCUCCCGCACGCGUGUGUUAACGCACGCGCGUGCGCGGAACCGUAAUUGUCGGUCUGCGACGCUUCAGCUUUGGGUACUUUCAGGACCCGUCUUGAAACACGGACCAAGGAGUCUAGCAUGUGCGCUAGUCAGUGGGAACUGAACUAAACCCACGGGCGUAAUGAAAGUAAAGGAUACGGAAGCGGAAGCGCACGCGCCGUUCGCGGUGUGUGCGCGUUCGCGACCGUCCGAGGGAGGAUGCGCGUGCGCACGCGCACGUAUUAUACGUGUGCGUGUGUGUUGUUUUGCGCCGCACUCCCGGAGCGUCUCAACGUUCUCAUCGCGAGACGAGGCGCAUCCAGAGCGUACACGCUGGGACCCGAAAGAUGGUGAACUAUGCCUGGUCAGGACGAAGUCAGGGGAAACCCUGAUGGAGGUCCGUAGCGAUUCUGACGUGCAAAUCGAUCGUCGGAACUGGGUAUAGGGGCGAAAGACUAAUCGAACCGUCUAGUAGCUGGUUCCCUCCGAAGUUUCCCUCAGGAUAGCUGGCGCUCGUCGUGCGAGUCUCAUCCGGUAAAGCGAAUGAUUAGAGGCCUUGGGGCCGAAACGACCUCAACCUAUUCUCAAACUUUAAAUGGGUGAGAUCUCUAGCUUGCUCGAUCCGCGUGUCUCGCGUGUGUGUCUCGCGCGUACGACGUGGGGCGGGCGUGUGCGCGUGUGUGUCGUCGCGUGCGUGUGUGUAUCGCGCGCGCGCGCGCGCGCGGGUGUCGGUAGGGGUCUCUCUAUCCGACAUUCGCGUGUCGUGUGUGUGUGUGCACGCGUGCCGCGCGGCACACACAUACCGCGCACGUCCAAUCUCGUCGCUACCUAUUACACUCCGCGCACGCGCGAAGCUAAGAGUUAUGAUUAUCGCGCGCGCGAUGUUUUUUCGUCGUCGUCGCGCGAUAAUAAAGGAUCAGAGUGCCAAGUGGGCCAUUUUUGGUAAGCAGAACUGGCGCUGUGGGAUGAACCAAACGUCGAGUUAAAGCGCCGAAAUCGACGCUUAUGGGAUACCAUGAAAGGCGUUGGUUGCUUAAGACAGCAGGACGGUGGCCAUGGAAGUCGGAAUCCGCUAAGGAGUGUGUAACAACUCACCUGCCGAAGCAACUAGCCCUGAAAAUGGAUGGCGCUGAAGCGUCGUGCUUAUACUCGACCGUCAGCGACAGUCUCGCGGCCGGGCGACGGCGACGACAUCGUCGUCGUCGUCGCGCGGUCAUCAAGUCCUGACGAGUAGGAGGGUCGCGGCGGUGAGCGCAGAAGGAUUGGCCGCGAGGCCGUCUGGAGCCGCCGUCGGUGCAGAUCUUGGUGGUAGUAGCAAAUA